rnacentral:lncRNA from 1 species
AAGGUCUGGAAAUAACUGGGAAAGAAAAGCCUUGUUUCAGAACAUUCUCCAGGGAAAACAUGCUGCUUCUUCAAAGACUCCAAUUUCAGAUGGCAAAAUGCAUGGAAGCUGAGAUGGACCUUCUGGAGUUUUCGAUAAACCACUGUAGCUCAGUCAGAGGUUCAAUUAUGAUGAUACCCACACAAGCCCGGUCCUCCCACAGCCUACAUCCAAUCCUCUGAGGAAGCUGAGUGGCACUGCCUUUAUUCACCACAGAUGCUACAGAAUCAGCAGGAAGGAAGACUGUGAAAAGGAAAAAUGCACUCUUUAAAGAGAUGGAGUCUUGCUAUAUUUCCCAAGAUGCACUUGAACUCCUGGGCUCAAGCAAUCCUCCCACCUCAGCCUUCCAAGUUGUUGGAACUAUAUAGGUGCACACCAUUGUGUCUGGCUAAAUUUGUGUAUUUCCAUGGAUGUAUAAUAUAUUUACAUAUC